rnacentral:rRNA from 1 species
GGGGGAAUAGGGAAAAAGGGGGGCAAGCCUGAGGCAGCAAGGACGCGGGGAGGAAGAAGGGCGGCGGGGGGGAAAGGAGGGGAAGAGGGGAGGAAGGGAGGAAAGGGAAAAAAGGGGACGAGGGAAGGGACCAGAAGAAGAAGCAGGGGAGAACGAGGGGCCAGCAGCCGCGGGAAUACGGAGGGUGCAAGCGUUAAUCGGAAUUACUGGGCGUAAAGCGCACGCAGGCGGUUUGUUAAGUCAGAUGUGAAAUCCUCGGGCUCAACCUGGGAACUGCAUCUGAUACUGGCAAGCUUGAGUCUCGUAGAGGGGGGUAGAAUUCCAGGUGUAGCGGUGAAAUGCGUAGAGAUCUGGAGGAAUACCGGUGGCGAAGGCGGCCCCCUGGACGAAGACUGACGCUCAGGUGCGAAAGCGUGGGGAGCAAACAGG